GACGAACGCUGGCGGCGUGCUUAACACAUGCAAGUCGAACGAAGUGGCGAACGGGUGAGUAACGCGUAAUCAACCUGCCCUUCUGAGGGGUACCACCGUUGGAAACGACUGCUAAUACCGCAUACUGUAGAUGGGGAUUGCGUCUGAUUAGUUAGUUGGGUGGGUAACGGCCCACCAAGGCGAUGAUCAGUAGCCGGUCUGAAAGGAGGAACGGCCACAUUGGGACUGAGACACGGCCCAGACGCCUACGGGAGGCAGCAGUGGGGAAUCUUCCGCAAUGGACGGAAGUCUGACGGAGCAACGCCGCGUGAGUGAUGACGGCCUUCGGGUUGUAAAGCUCUGUUAAUCGGGACGCGGUACCGGAAUAGAAAGCCACGGCUAACUACGUGCCAGCCGCCGCGGUAAUAC
rnacentral:rRNA from 1 species